rnacentral:rRNA from 1 species
GUAGGGUGCAAGCGUUAAUCGGAAUUACUGGGCGUAAAGCGUGCGCAGGCGGUGAUGUAAGACAGAUGUGUAAUCCCCGGGCUCAACCUGGGAACUGCAUUUGUGACUGCAUCGCUGGAGUGCGGCAGAGGGGGAUGGAAUUCCGCGUGUAGCAGUGAAAUGCGUAGAUAUGCGGAGGAACACCGAUGGCGAAGGCAAUCCCCUGGGCCUGCACUGACGCUCAUGCACGAAAACGUGGGGAUCAAAAAGGAUUAGAUACCCUGGUAGUCCACGCCCUAAACGAUGUCAACUGGUUGUUGGGUCUUAACUGACUCAGUAACGAACGUAACGCGUGAAGUUGACCACCUGGGGAGUACGGCCGCAAGGUUG